rnacentral:tRNA from 1 species
GAAGGCGCACGCCUGGAAAGUGUGUAUAGGUUAAUAGCCUAUCGAGGGUUCGAAUCCCUCGUUCUCCGCCA